CGCGGCCCCGCCCCGCGGAGCCUCCCUCCCUCCCUGCCCGGCCGGGCGGCUGGCGAGCCGGGAGUCGCUCGCGGGUCGCGCGGGCCGUGUCGCGGCGCCUCCGCACGAUGUGAGCCCGGCCGGCGCCUGGCUGAGCCGUCACCCACGCAGGCCCCGCGGCCCCGGCCCAGCAUGCGCCUGUCGGUGCGGAGGGCGCUGCUGGCGGCCUGCUGCGCGCUGGCCCUGCUGCUGGCCUUCCAGCUGGGCCAGCAGGUGCUGGAGUGCCGGGCGGCGCUGAGGGGCCCGGGGAGGCGCUGGCCCGCCAUGCGGCCGGAGCAGGAGGACCUGGCGGUGGUGGGCCCGGACCGCGCCGAGUACCGCUACGGCAAGGCCAUGCCGCUCAUCUUCGUGGGCGGCGUGCCCCGCAGCGGCACCACGCUGAUGCGCGCCAUGCUGGACGCCCACCCCGAGGUGCGCUGCGGCGAGGAGACCCGCGUCAUCCCCCGCGUGCUGGCCAUGCGCCAGGCCUGGGCCAAGUCCGGCCGCGAGAAGCAGCGGCUGGACGAGGCGGGCGUGACGGACGAGGUGCUGGACGCGGCCAUGCAGGCCUUCAUCCUGGAGGUGAUCGCCAAGCACGGCGAGCCGGCCCGCGUGCUCUGCAACAAGGACCCCUUCACGCUCAAGUCCUCCGUCUACCUGUCGCGCCUCUUCCCCAACUCCAAGUUCCUGCUGAUGGUGCGGGACGGCCGCGCCUCGGUGCACUCCAUGAUCACGCGCAAGGUCACCAUCGCCGGCUUCGACCUCAGCAGCUACCGCGACUGCCUGAGCAAGUGGAACAAGGCCAUCGAGGUGAUGUACGCGCAGUGCCUGGAGGUGGGCCGCGACAAGUGCCUGCCCGUCUACUACGAGCAGCUGGUGCUGCACCCGCGGCGCUCCCUGCAGCUCAUCCUGGACUUCCUGGGCAUCGCCUGGAGCGACGCGGUGCUGCACCACGAGGACCUCAUCGGCAAGCCCGGCGGCGUCUCGCUGUCCAAGAUCGAGCGGUCCACGGACCAGGUCAUCAAGCCCGUGAACCUGGAGGCGCUGUCCAAGUGGACGGGGCACAUCCCCGGGGACGUGGUGCGGGACAUGGCCCAGAUCGCCCCCAUGCUGGCCCGGCUCGGCUAUGACCCCUACGCGAACCCUCCCAACUACGGCAACCCGGACCCCAUCGUCGUCAACAACACGCACCGGGUGUUGAAAGGGGACUACAAGACACCAGCCAAUCUGAAGGGACAUUUCCAGGCGAACCCGAACAGCACCGCCGCCCCCGGGGCAAGCUCGUGAUUUCCAGGUACGCCCUCCUCCCCGCCCCACGGCUCCGGAGCCACUGCUGAAAAGCUGGUCCUUCCAGGGCCGCCGGGGAGGAGUGUCCCCAAGGUCCCGCCAGCGGCCGCCGGGACGGGCGGGGGCAGCCGCCUCCGUGGAAAUCGGAUCUAAUCCAAGCACAUUGCUUGCUAUCCCCGGCAGACGGACUGCCGCCGAGGGGCGUGUUUGCACAUGUUUGCAAAGCCCGGGCGUCCGGGACGUCCCUGACCCGCUGCCCUCGGACCCUCGGGGACGGAGGACGGCGAUGCGGACACACACGGCCGGCUCCGGGGACUCGGUUUUCUAUUUUCCCGCCGGGACUUUCCUCCGAAGUGGCCCCCCCGCCUCCCUGUGCGGCGCUGCUGGCCGGGACCAGCCCCCCGCCUCCCGAGGACCUAUUUUUGAAUUCAAAGAAUCUAUUUAAAAAUUUAAUAUAUGAAGCUUUCUCUGAUCCUCCCGUUCUUACAUGUCACAGGACGCGGGUAUACGUUGGAAUAAAGGGAGCAGGGAC